rnacentral:rRNA from 1 species
ACGGGUGAGUAACACGUGGGCAACCUGCCCUUGAGACUGGGAUAACUUCGGGAAACCGGAGCUAAUACCGGAUAAUAUAAGGAACCUCCUGGUUCCUUAUUGAAAGAUGGUUUCGGCUAUCACUUAAGGAUGGGCCCGCGGCGCAUUAGCUAGUUGGUGAGGUAACGGCUCACCAAGGCGACGAUGCGUAGCCGACCUGAGAGGGUGAUCGGCCACACUGGGACUGAGACACGGCCCAGACUCCUACGGGAGGCAGCAGUAGGGAAUCUUCCACAAUGGACGAAAGUCUGAUGGAGCAACGCCGCGUGAGUGAUGAAGGCCUUCGGGUCGUAAAGCUCUGUUGUUAGGGAAGAACAAGUGCGAGAGUAACUGCUCGCACCUUGACGGUACCUAACCAGAAAGCCACGGCUAACUACGUGCCAGCAGCCGCGGUAAUACGUAGGUGGCAAGCGUUAUCCGGAAUUAUUGGGCGUAAAGCGCGCGCAGGUGGUUUCUUAAGUCUGAUGCGAAAGCCCACGGCUCAACCGUGGGGGGUCAUUGGAAACUGGGGAACUUGAGUGCAGAAGAGGAAAGUGGAAUUCCAAG